rnacentral:lncRNA from 1 species
AAAAAAAAAUUAUAAAGAGUAAAAACGAAAUUUGAGAUAUUUAUAAAAAUAAAAAAUUUAUUUAACUCUUUAUAAAAUUUGCAAUUUUUUAAUAUAAAUUAUAAAAGAUGUCUUUAUAGUCGUAUAAAGUCAAUAAUGAAAAAUUGUAGAUAAAUAGUGGAAUUAUCAUGAACCUUUAAAGUCAAAUUUUCAUGUUUUUAUUUAUGACCACUGAGUAAAUUUUCAUAAACGAUCAUUUUAACGUUCGUCAAGUGGAAUCAUUUUGUCCACAUAAGGUGGAGGAUAUGAGAAUUUCAAGUAUAACACAUGCUAGAGUUAUUCGCAUCAUGUGGCAAAGAAGCGAGAACUUAAAAACUUAAUUAGUUGAGUCUAAAAUUAAUCCCUUACCUUUUGUCAAAAAAAUAUAAUCAAUUUUUGGCUAUAUUGCACUUUUGGCCCAAGUUUUGCAAAGUUACAAUUUUGGCCCUCUAUGUUUCAAAAUAGCAUUUUUGGUCCCCUAUGUUUACCUCAUUUUGCAAAAGGUCAAUUUUGACCAAGUCAAUGCUGAUGUGGUAAGUCACUUAAGUGACUCAGCUGCCACAUCAUCUUUUUUUGUCACUUAUAAUUUUUUUUUAAAAAAAAAAGAAAGUAAAGGAACUAUAGUAUAGUAGAACGACCGCAAAAUCUAUGCACAUAAAAAUGGUCCUUCGCUAUUAAGCAAAAUCAUUUUGAUGUCACUGUAAAUUUUGAAGGAAAAAAAAGAAGGUUGAAGCUGUAAAUUUUUGCAAUUAAAUAGAAGUUAAUCAGAGACUUUGAUCAUAAUUUCUUAGGGUGUGUGUGGUUGUGAUAAGAAAAUGAGAAGAGAAAAAUAUGUGAGAGAGAGUGUGAGAAGAGAG